rnacentral:rRNA from 1 species
GGUAUAGCCACAGCUUGCUGGGUGGAUUAGUGGCGAACGGGUGAGUAACACGUGAGUAACCUGCCCCUGACUCUGGGAUAAGCGUUGGAAACGACGUCUAAUACUGGAUACGACUGCCGGCCGCAUGGUCUGGUGGUGGAAAGAUUUUUUGGUUGGGGAUGGACUCGCGGCCUAUCAGCUUGUUGGUGAGGUAAUGGCUCACCAAGGCGACGACGGGUAGCCGGCCUGAGAGGGUGACCGGCCACACUGGGACUGAGACACGGCCCAGACUCCUACGGGAGGCAGCAGUGGGGAAUAUUGCACAAUGGGCGAAAGCCUGAUGCAGCAACGCCGCGUGAGGGAUGACGGCCUUCGGGUUGUAAACCUCUUUUAGUAGGGAAGAAGCGAAAGUGACGGUACCUGCAGAAAAAGCACCGGCUAACUACGUGCCAGCAGCCGCGGUAAUACGUAGGGUGCAAGCGUUGUCCGGAAUUAUUGGGCGUAAAGAGCUCGUAGGCGGUUUGUCGCGUCUGCUGUGAAAUCCCGAGGCUCAACCUCGGGCUUGCAGUGGGUACGGGCAGACUAGAGUGCGGUAGGGGAGAUUGGAAUUCCUGGUGUAGCGGUGGAAUGCGCAGAUAUCAGGAGGAACACCGAUGGCGAAGGCAGAUCUCUGGGCCGUAACUGACGCUGAGGAGCGAAAGCGUGGGGAGCGAACAGGAUUAGAUACCCUGGUAGUCCACGCCGUAACGUUGGGCGCUAGAUGUAGGGACCUUUCCACGGUUUCUGUGUCGUAGCUAACGCAUUAAACGCCCCGCCUGGGGAGUACGGCCGCACGGCUAAAACUCAAAGGAAUUGACGGGGGGCCCGCACAAGCGGCGGGAGCAUGCGGAUUAUUUCUAUGCAUCGCGAAGACCCUAACCAAUGCUUGAACAUACACCGGCAACGGCCAUAGAUGGUCGCCCCCCUUGCUGGUCGGUGUACAGGUGGUUGCAUGGGAUGUCGUCAUCCUCGUCGUCGUGAG